UUUUCUGUUCCAAUUAGAGGAAGUAAAAGUCGUAACAAGGUCUCCGUUGGUGAACCAGCGGAGGGAUCAUUACCGAGUUUACAACUCCCAAACCCCUGUGAACAUACCUAACGUUGCCUCGGCGGGAAAGCCCCGGGCGCUGGCGCAAGCCUCGCACCGGUACCAGGCGCCCGCCGGAGGACCCAAACCAAACUCUUGUAUUCUAAAGAAUCUUCUGAGUAACCAUAAGCAAUAAAUUAAAACUUUCAACAACGGAUCUCUUGGUUCUGGCAUCGAUGAAGAACGCAGCGAAAUGCGAUAAGUAAUGUGAAUUGCAGAAUUCAGUGAAUCAUCGAAUCUUUGAACGCACAUUGCGCCCGCCAGUACUCUGGCGGGCAUGCCUGUUCGAGCGUCAUUUCAACCCUCAAGCUCUGCUUGGUGUUGGGGAUCGGCGUAGCGCCCUCGGGCGUCGCCGUCCCCUAAAUCUAGUGGCGGUCCCGCUGUAGCCUCCUCUGCGUAGUAGUUUUCUCCUCGCACUGGAAUCUCGGCGGUGCCCUGCCGUAAAACCCCCAACUUACCGAAAUGUUGACCUCGAAUCAGGUAGGAUAUACCCGCUGAACUUAAGCAUAUCAUAGGCGGGGAGGA
rnacentral:rRNA from 1 species